CCUACGGGAGGCAGCAGUGGGGAAUAUUGCUCAAUGGGGGAAACCCUGAUGCAGCGACGCCGCGUGAGUGAAGAAGUAAUUCGUUAUGUUAAGCUCCUUUUGUAGGGAAGAAAAUGACGGUACCUGUGUAAGAAUCCCCGGCUAACUACGUGCCAGAAGCCGUGGCAAUACGUAGGGGGCAAGCGUUAUCCGGAUUUACUGGGUGUAAAGGGAGCGUAGGCGGUUCGCUAAGUCUGGAGUGAAAUGCCGCAGCUGAACUGCGGAACUGCUUUGGAAACUGGCGAACUAGAGUGCGGGUGGGGUAAGCGGAAUUCCUGGUGUAGCGGUGAAAUGCUUAGAUAUUA
rnacentral:rRNA from 1 species